rnacentral:rRNA from 1 species
GAGUUUGAUCAUGGCUCAGAUUGAACGCUGGCGGCAUGCCUUACACAUGCAAGUCGAACGGCAGCACGGGAGCAAUCCUGGUGGCGAGUGGCGAACGGGUGAGUAAUAUAUCGGAACGUGCCCAGUCGUGGGGGAUAACGCAGCGAAAGCUGUGCUAAUACCGCAUACGAUCUCUGGAUGAAAGCGGGGGACUCGCAAGAGCCUCGCGCGAUUGGAGCGGCCGAUAUCAGAUUAGCUAGUUGGCGGGGUAAAGGCCCACCAAGGCGACGAUCUGUAGCUGGUCUGAGAGGACGACCAGCCACACUGGAACUGAGACACGGUCCAGACUCCUACGGGAGGCAGCAGUGGGGAAUUUUGGACAAUGGGCGCAAGCCUGAUCCAGCAAUGCCGCGUGCAGGAUGAAGGCCUUCGGGUUGUAAACUGCUUUUGUACGGAACGAAACGGCGAGCUCUAAUAAAGCUUGCUAAUGACGGUACCGUAAGAAUAAGCACCGGCUAACUACGUGCCAGCAGCCGCGGUAAUACGUAGGGUGCGAGCGUUAAUCGGAAUUACUGGGCGUAAAGCGUGCGCAGGCGGUUAUAUAAGACAGAUGUGAAAUCCCCGGGCUCAACCUGGGACCUGCAUUUGUGACUGUAUAGCUAGAGUACGGUAGAGGGGGAUGGAAUCCGCGUGUAGCAGUGAAUGCGUAGAUAUGCGAGGACACCGAUGCGAAGGCAUCCCUGGACU